rnacentral:rRNA from 1 species
UACGGAGGGUGCAAGCGUUAUCCGGAUUCACUGGGUUUAAAGGGUGCGUAGGCGGGCAGGUAAGUCCGUGGUGAAAUCUCCAAGCUUAACUUGGAAACUGCCGUGGAUACUAUUUGUCUUGAAUAUAGUGGAGGUGAGCGGAAUAUGUCAUGUAGCGGUGAAAUGCUUAGAUAUGACAUAGAACACCCAUUGCGAAGGCAGCUCGCUACACUAUUAUUGACGCUGAGGCACGAGAGCGUGGGGAUCAAACAGG